rnacentral:rRNA from 2 species
CCUAUCAGUUUUGUUGGGUGAGGUAAUGGCCCACCAAGACUAUUACAGGUACGGGGCUCUGAGAGGAGUGGCACCGGAAGAUGGGUACUGAGACACGGACCCAGGCCCUAUGGGGCGCAGCAGGCGAGAAAACUUUGCAAUGUGCGAAAGCACGACAAGGUUAAUCCGAGUGGUUUCUGCUAAAGAAACCUUUUGUCAGUCCUAGAAACACUAACGAAUAAGGGGUGGGCAAGUUCUGGUGUCAGCCGCCGCGGUAAAACCAGCACCUCAAGUGGUCAGGAUGAUUAUUGGGCCUAAAGCAUCCGUAGCUCGUUUUGUAAGUUUUCGGUUAAAUCCAUGCGCUUAACGUAUGGGCUGCCGGGAAUACUGCAUAACUAGGAAGUGGGAGAGGUAGACGGUACUCGGUAGGAAGGGGUAAAAUCCUUUGAUCUAUUGAUGACCACCUGUGGCGAAGGCGGUCUACCAGAACACGUUCGACGGUGAGGGAUGAAAGCUGGGGGAGCAAACCGGAUUAGAUACCCGGGUAGUCCCAGCUGUAAACUAUGCAAACUCAGUGAUGCAUUGGCUUGUGGCCAAUGCAGUGCUGCAGGGAAGCCGUUAAGUUUGCCGCCUGGGAAGUACGUACGCAAGUAUGAAACUUAA